GUUAUUGUUGGACGUUAUUUAAAGCACGUAUUUGCUUCAACAGCAGGAGCCUCUACAGGAGGCUUUAAACAUUUGAGUGAGUCUGUGUGUGUGCGAGUCUGUGUGUGCGUGUGUGUGUGUGUGUGUAUAGAUGUGUGUGAGUCUGUGUGUUUGUAUAUAUGCGUGCUUUUAUAAAAGUGUGCUUCAUUGAAUGAUGACCUGAUAUAAAUUAUCAGAUUUUCUUUGUUAAAGUCUGACCGCUGAAUCUCUGUCUAUUGAAAUUGUCUCUUUUUUUUAUCAACAACAAAGAGACAUAAAGAUGCAGUGAGCAGCAACAAGAGGCACAGCAAGAAAGAAUUAUACUCAUCUUUGACAUUUAAAAUGUUGUUAUAUUUUAAGAGAUGUUAAACUUUAAUAAAUCAUUUUUCCACUUUUCAUGCCUGCGUGUUCUUCAUCACAAUGGGAACCUAAUGGGCAGGAAUGGAUACUCUGUGGGAGUAUCUUGCUUCUGCCCAAAGAUAGGAUCUUCCCUUCGGCCUCUGCACAGAUCCUAUAGUGGAGCAAACAUAGAAACAUAGAAAAUAGAUGCAGGAGGAGUCAAUUUGGCCCUUCAAGCUAGCACCGCCAUUCAUUGUGAUCGUGGGUGAUCGUCCCCUAUCAAUAACCCGUGCCUGCCUUCUCCCCAUAUUCCUUGACUUCACUAGCCGCUAGAGCUCUAUCUAACUCUCUCUUAAAUCCAUCCAGUGACUAGGCUUCCACUGCCCUCUGUGGCAGGGAAUUCCAUAAAUUCACACAUUUCUCUGGGUGAAAAAGUUUCUUCUCACCUUAGUCUUAAAUUACCUGCCCUUUAUUCUAAGACUGGCCCCUGGUUCUGGACUCACCCAACAUUGGGAACAUUUCUCCUGCAUCUAGCUUGCCCAGUCCUUUAAUAAUUUAAUAUGUUUCUAUAAGAUUCCCCCUCAUCCUUCUAAACUCCAGUGAAUACAAGCCUAGUCUUUUCAAUCUUUACUCAUAUACAGUCCCACCAACCCAGGGAUCAAUCUCGUAAACCUACGCUGCAGAAGAACCUCUUCACUCUAUACUGAAAUCCUCUUGUUAUGAAGGCCAACAUUCCAUAGCUUUCUUUACUGCCUGCUGUACCUCUAAGCCAACUUUCAGUGGCCGGUGUACAAGGACGCCCAGGUCUCGCUGCACAUCCCCCUUACCUAACCUAAAUCUAUUGAGAUAAUAAUCAGCCCCCUUGUUUUUGCCUUCAAAGUGGAUAACCUCACAUUUAUCUAUAGUAUACUGCACAUGCCAUGCAUCUGCCCACUCACUCAACCUGUCCAGGUCACCCUGCAACCUCCUAACAUCCUCUUCACAGUUCACACUGCCACCCAGCUUUGUGUCAUUUGCAAACUUGCGAGUGUUGCUCCUAAUUCACUCUUCCAAAUCAUUAAUAUAUAUGGUAAACAGUUGCGGCCCCAAUAACAAACCUUACGGCACUCCACUCGACACUGCCUGCCAUUCUGAAAAGGACCCGUUCACUCCUACUCUUUGCUUCCUGUCUACCAAUCAAUUUUCUAUCCAUGUGAUCACCCUACCACCAAUACCAUGUGCUCAAGAUGGACCACUCCUGCAAAAAACAAUCGGCAAUCGGCAAUGUGGGCAAUACGACUUGUCUUUCUUCAGGUUCCCCAUUAAGGAGGAAAGAUGUCGACAUUGGACAUGAUCUACACCGAACUGCGGAGUAUUUGUGAAAUAACUGCCCUCUUAUGUACAUUGUGUGAAAUUGUGAUUUGCUAACUGCACAAAUAUAAUGCGAAUGGCGAUUUAUUUAUUAUUGUAUCUAUGUUGGACAUUUUGCUGUUUGGUGAAGCAGGGGUGGGGCUAUCAUUGUGUUACAUACGUUAAAUUGUACAUCACUUUCACUGGUUAGCUGAUAUGCUGAACUGCAACCCUGUAUAACUCGCGCACAGAAUAAUGUGAAUUGUGUAAAUCUUAUCCCAACGGGUCCCACUUAGUCUAUUGAUUGUGUAUAAGCUGCAAAUUUUGUCCUUUGUUUGAAAUGUGUAGAAUGUGACAUCACUUUUAUUGAUUAUCUGAUAUUCUAAAUUCUGCAAAUUCUGCAAGCCUGUAUAUGUCGUGCACAAAAUGAUGUAAAUAAAAAUUGUUUUCCUGUUUAAGAA